rnacentral:rRNA from 1 species
AGAGUUUGAUCCUGGCUCAGAUUGAACGCUGGCGGCAUGCUUUACACAUGCAGGUCGAACGGUAACAGGGAGCUUGCUCCGCUGACGAGUGGCGAACGGGUGAGUAAUGCAUCGGAACGUACCGUGUAAGUGGGGGAUAACGUAGCGAAAGUUACGCUAAUACCGCAUACGCCCUGAGGGGGAAAGUGGGGGACCGCAAGGCCUCACGUUAUACGAGCGGCCGAUGUCGGAUUAGCUAGUUGGUGGGGUAAAGGCCUACCAAGGCGACGAUCCGUAGCGGGUCUGAGAGGAUGAUCCGCCACACUGGGACUGAGACACGGCCCAGACUCCUACGGGAGGCAGCAGUGGGGAAUUUUGGACAAUGGGCGCAAGCCUGAUCCAGCCAUGCCGCGUGAGUGAAGAAGGCCUUCGGGUUGUAAAGCUCUUUCGGCCGGGAAGAAAUCGCAUGGGUUAAUACCCUGUGUGGAUGACGGUACCGGAAUAAGAAGCACCGGCUAACUACGUG